rnacentral:rRNA from 1 species
UACAGAGGUCUCAAGCGUUGUUCGGAUUCAUUGGGCGUAAAGGGUGCGUAGGUGGGCAGGUAAGUCAGUGGUGAAAUCUCCGGGCUUAACUCGGAAACUGCCGUUGAUACUAUCUGUCUUGAAUAUCGUGGAGGUUAGCGGAAUAUGUCAUGUAGCGGUGAAAUGCUUAGAUAUGACAUAGAACACCCAUUGCGAAGGCAGCUAACUACACGAUCAUUGACACUGAGGCACGAAAGCGUGGGGAGCAAACAGG